CAGAUUUACUUCGGUAAUGACGUUGGGAAAGCGAGCGGCGGAUGGGUGAGUAACACGUGGGGAACCUGCCCCUAAGUCUGGGAUACCAUUUGGAAACAGGUGCUAAUACCGGAUAAUAAAGCAGAUCGCAUGAUCAGCUUUUGAAAGGCGGCGUAAGCUGUCGCUAAGGGAUGGCCCCGCGGUGCAUUAGCUAGUUGGUAAGGUAACGGCUUACCAAGGCGACGAUGCAUAGCCGAGUUGAGAGACUGAUCGGCCACAUUGGGACUGAGACACGGCCCAAACUCCUACGGGAGGCAGCAGUAGGGAAUCUUCCACAAUGGACGCAAGUCUGAUGGAGCAACGCCGCGUGAGUGAAGAAGGUUUUCGGAUCGUAAGCUCUGUUGUUGGUGAAGAAGGAUAAGGUAGUAACUGGCCUUUAUUUGACGGUAAUCAACCAGAAAGUCACGGCUAACUACGUGCCAGCAGCCGCGGUAAUACGUA
rnacentral:rRNA from 1 species